CAAAAGUCCCUAACUCCAAGUCUAAAGUCUAGAAUUAUCAGUUUUUAUUAAUUCCUAACAACGGAGCCAGGGUGAAAUCAGUUCUUCCCGAAAGCUGAUGAAAAGAGCAGAGGCACAUACCUCAGUGAUGAAGUGCUCAAAGUUCAUCUCUG